rnacentral:rRNA from 1 species
CAGGGAUUGCCCUAGUAACGGCGAGUGAAGCGGCAACAGCUCAAAUUUGAAAUCUGGCGUCUUUGGCGUCCGAGUUGUAAUUUGCAGAGGGCGCUUUGGCAUUGGCAGCGGUCCAAGUUCCUUGGAACAGGACGUCACAGAGGGUGAGAAUCCCGUACGUGGUCGCUAGCCUUUACCGUGUAAAGCCCCUUCGACGAGUCGAGUUGUUUGGGAAUGCAGCUCUAAAUGGGAGGUAAAUUUCUUCUAAAGCUAAAUACUGGCCAGAGACCGAUAGCGCACAAGUAGAGUGAUCGAAAGAUGAAAAGCACUUUGGAAAGAGAGUUAAAAAGCACGUGAAAUUGUUGAAAGGGAAGCGCUUGCAGCCAGACUUGCCUGUAGUUGCUCAUCCGGGUUUUUACCCGGUGCACUCUUCUAUAGGCAGGCCAGCAUCAGUUUGGGCGGUUGGAUAAAGGUCUCUGUCAUGUACCUCCUUUCGGGGAGAUCUUAUAGGGGAGACGACAUGCAACCAGCCUGGACUGAGGUCCGCGCAUCUGCUAGGAUGCUGGCGUAAUGGCUGUAAGCGGCCCGUCUUGAAACACGGACCAAGGAGUCUAACAUCUAUGCGAGUGUUUGGGUGUCAAGCCCGAACGCGUAAUGAAAGUGAACGGAGGUGGGAACCUUUCGGGGUGCACCAUCGACCGAUCCUGAUGUCUUCGGAUGGAUUUGAGUAAGAGCAUAGCUGUUGGGACCCGAAAGAUGGUGAACUAUGCUUGAAUAGGGUGAAGCCAGAGGAAACUCUGGUGGAGGCUCGCAGCGGUUCUGACGUGCAAAUCGAUCGUCAAAUUUGGGCAUAGGGGCGAAAGACUAAUCG